AUGUUUUUUUUAAAGGUUUGUUGACCCAUGUGAACUUAUCUCUUUGUUGCCUCGGCGCAGGCUACCCGGGACCUCGCGCCCCGGGGGGCCCGCCGGCGGACAAACCAAACUCUGUUAUCUUCGUUGAUUAUCUGAGUGUCUUAUUUAAUAAGUCAAAACUUUCAACAACGGAUCUCUUGGUUCUGGCAUCAAUGAAGAACGCAGCGAAAUGCGAUAAGUAAUGUGAAUUGCAAAAUUCAGUGAAUCAUCGAAUCUUUGAACGCACAUUGCGCCCAUUAGUAUUCUAGUGGGCAUGCCUGUUCGAGCGUCAUUUCAACCCCUAAGCACAGCUUAUUGUUGGGACUCUACGGCUUCGUAGUUCCCCAAAGACAUUGGCGGAGUGGCAGCAGUCCUCUGAGCGUAGUAAUUCUUUAUCUCGCUUUUGUUAGGCGCUGCCCCCCCGGCCGUAAAACCCCCAAUUUUUUCUGGUUGACCUCGGAUCAGGUAGGAAUACCCGCUGAACUUAAGCAUAUCAAUAGCGGGAAGGAA
rnacentral:rRNA from 1 species